GGGGUUAAUUUAAUAAAUAAUAAAUAUGAAAAAAAAUUUUAAUAUAAUAUAUUUAAUGGGGGUUAAAGUAUUUUUAUAGAAAAAAUUUAAAAAUUUAUAGUGAAAUAGUAUUGUGAAAGAAAAAUUGAAAAUAUUGAAAUAAAAAUUUAUUUAAAAGUAAAUUUUAUUUAUUGGAUCUUGUGUAUCAGAGUUUUUUAAAAAAAAAAAAAUUGGGUAAAUUUAUUUCGAAAUUUAAAGAGUUAAUUAAUUAAAAAAGUUAAUAUUGCAUAAUUAUUUUAAAUAAUUAAUUGGAAAUGAAAAGUUAAUCGUUUUGAAUGAUAUCUAAUUUUUUUAGAAAAAAGUUUAAUUUUAAAUAAAUUUUAAAAAUAAUUAAUUAAUUAAUUAUUUUUAAAAUUUAAUUUUAUAUUUUAGGGGAUAAGCUUUAAAUUAGAAUUUUAUAAUAAAAGUAAAAAAAAAUUGAAAUUUUUAAAAUUUAUAUUUUUUAUAAAUUAUAGUUUAUUAUCAAUAAUUUCAUUUAAUUAAAAUUUUAUUUUAAUUAAAAUUUUUAUAAAAAAAUAUUUUUUAAUUUAAUAAAAAUAGGUAUAAUGAUAAAAUUAGUAUAUAAUUUAUAAAUAAAAUAAAAAUUAUUUAAAUUAAUAAAAAGGAAUUCGGCAAAAAU
rnacentral:rRNA from 1 species